GGAAGGAUCAUUAUUGAAUAAACUUGAACAGGCUGCUGCUGGCCCCCUUGGGGUGCAUGUGCACGCUUGUCAUCUUUAUCUCUCCUGCUGUGCACAUAUUGUAGACCUGGAGUCUGAUUAUUUGAGUAUAGAAUGAGAAUUGCUGUGCUUUCUAGUCAGCUUUGUCUUGCAUCUCCCAGGUCUAUGUUUGUUUUCACAAUCUCUGAAUGAUGUUGGAAUGUACCUAUAAAAGUUAUAUAUAUACAACUUUCAGCAACGGAUCUCUUGGCUCUCGCAUCGAUGAAGAACGCAGCGAAAUGCGAUAAGUAAUGUGAAUUGCAGAAUUCAGUGAAUCAUCGAAUCUUUGAACGCAUCUUGCGCUCCUUGGUAUUCCGAGGAGCAUGCCUGUUUGAGUGUCAUUAAGUUCUCAACCACACCAAUAUUUUGAUGUGGCCUUGGAUAUGGGGGUUUUUGCAGGCUUCUGAAAAUGAAGCCGGCUCCUCUGAAAUGCAUUAGUGGUAUCUGAGCAGAAACUACUACAGGUGUGAUAAUUAUCUAUGCCUUCAAGUAUACUGCAUGCACUGCUUCUAACAUGUUUGACAAAUUUGACCUCAAAUCAGGUAGGACUACCCGCUGAACUUAAGCAUAUCAAUAAGCGGAGGAAAAGAAACUAACAAGGAUUCCCCUAGUAACUGCGAGUGAAGCGGGAAGAGCUCAAAUUUAAAAUCUGGCGGUUUUUUAAC
rnacentral:rRNA from 1 species